GCCAGAGAGAUGUGAAGUCAGACACAUGGUACUGAGGUGAGGUAACAAGCCAUGUGGCAGAACACAGAUUAAUAUAAAUGGGUCAGUUUACAUUUCAAGAGGCCUAAGCCAAGGCUAAGCUUUCAUAAUUGGCAAGACAUCUCUGUGUUAUUAUUUGGGAGCUGGCAGUCCAAAGAAAGACUUGCUACAAGAGUCAUCAGGUAGUAUUGAUUUCAAAGGCAGGAAGGGGUCAUGAAGAACAUGGGAAGCUCGGCACUGUGUGGAUGGUCUCUCUGAAAGACAACCCCAGAAGAGGACGCUCAGCAGUUUUAGAGAUGCUGGUGCCACAUGAUGGCCUCCAGGAACGACAGACACAAUGAAAUGGACCAGGCUGGGGCCUGGAAGACAGGUAGUGUGAGCUGUGGAGGGCCGGGCCAGAGAGGUGACCUGAGCCUCCUGGGAAAGCCCACAGGACCUCGAGUGAAUCUCAGACGUUGAGCACUGAGUUGUUUGCCCUGCUGGAUGUCGGUUUUGUCUUGUUCAGACUGCGGCUGUGCACAGUUUACUCCCUCUUGAAGUAAAAAAGAAAUGUCAUGUCCUUCCUGGAGGCAACCCUAAGGUCUCCAAAGAAGACAGACGGGGCGCAGACCUGGAUUGUGGCGAUGCUAACCACUGGAAAUGACUGCCCCAUGCCUUGCCUGCUUCCAGGGCAGUGGACAAACUGUGGACACUGUUGGGUUGACUGCCCUACUCUGCUUAAGUCAAGGAACUUGCUUUGCAAUGGCUGCUCUCCAUAAUCAACCGCCUGUGUCUCAUGGUAAAGAUAUGAGAAAGUGACUUAAGACACCAUCCAGGAGAUAGCCGCAGACUACAAACUGCUGCAAACUGCUGUGAACCCUGGACUUGCUGAAAGCUGAUGUGGACCAGUCCAGCUGAUGUGAGUGGUCCCUGGCUGUAUGGAGCAUAUAAACGGACAGGGAGAAGCCUGGCUGGAAGGGGAUUAGGAAAGUGAGCAUAGGCCAAUUACCCGACUACCAGAGCUAAGAAUGAAGGAGAGUGUGCACGUGUGGCAGAGUAUGAUAAGCGAGGUAUUUAAUGACCAGCUCAGGACCGAGAAGCAGAGCUCACCAUGACUGUAUAAAGGACACGUCCUGGAACUCUCCUCUGCCUGAGAAGCCAGUCCACUAAGCUGAGAGCUGCCCUAUCUGAUACCAGACACCAAAGACUGGAGACCUUGGUGGACUCGAAGCUUGAAUUCAGAGGAAUCUUAAGGUUGUGAGCCUAGUGGCUAUGGUCCCUAGGACUUAGCUCUUGUGUGUGUAUAUUGCUCCGAUAUAAGUAUAAAGUAAAAUACUUACUCAAAACCAA